UCCGAGUUGACCCCGGCAGUCUUCGAUGAGUCCCCGCCAUAACGCGCUGGCAACAUCGAACGAGGGUUGCGCUCGUUGCGGGACUUAACCCAACAUCUCACGACACGAGCUGACGACAGCCAUGCACCACCUGUGACCGCCCCCGAAGGACCUGCCAUCUCUGACAGUUUUGCGGCCAUGUCAAACCCAGGUAAGGUGGGGAUGACGUAGCUUACAGCGUAC
rnacentral:misc_RNA from 1 species